AGAGUUUGAUCAUGGCUCAGAUUGAACGCUGGCGGCAGGCUUAACACAUGCAAGUCGAGCGGCAGCACGGGGAGCUUGCUCCCUGGUGGCGAGCGGCGGACGGGUGAGUAAUGCAUAGGAAUCUGCCCGGUAGUGGGGGAUAACGUGGGGAAACCCACGCUAAUACCGCAUACGUCCUACGGGAGAAAGCGGAGGAUCUUCGGACUUCGCGCUAUCGGAUGAGCCUAUGUCGGAUUAGCUAGUUGGUAAGGUAACGGCUUACCAAGGCGACGAUCCGUAGCUGGUCUGAGAGGAUGAUCAGCCACACUGGGACUGAGACACGGCCCAGACUCCUACGGGAGGCAGCAGUGGGGAAUAUUGGACAAUGGGCGAAAGCCUGAUCCAGCCAUGCCGCGUGUGUGAAGAAGGCUUUCGGGUUGUAAAGCACUUUCAGCGAGGAAGAAAGCCUGGUGGUUAAUACCCAUCAGGAAGGACAUCACUCGCAGAAGAACUGUCAUCCGCGUCUAAUGCUUCCGUGCUCACGCCUAGCCUCGAACGCAGUAAUAUCGGAGCGGUGCGAGCCUUACCAUCGGAAUCGUCACUGGGUCGUCAAGCGCCCUCUAGGUGGCUUGGCCACGUCCGGUUGUCAAAGCCCCCGGGCUCAACCUGGGACACGGCAUCCGGAACGUGCCAGGCCUAGAGUGCAGGAGAGGAAGGUAGAAUUCCCGGGUGUACCGGUGAAAUCGCGUAGAGAUCGGGAGGAAUACCAGUGGCAGAAGGCGGCACUUCUGGCCUUGACACUUGACACUGAAGGUGCGAAAGCCGUGGGUUAGCAAAGCAGGAUUAGAAUACCCUUGGUAAGUCCACGACCGUAAGCGGAUUGUCGACUGAGCCGUUUCGGGAAGCUUUGAAGGACGUAGUGGGCGGCAGCUUAAACACGAGAUAAGUGCGACCGCCUGGGGAGUACGGCCGCAAGGUUAAAACUCAAAUGAAUUGACGGGGGCCGCACAAGCGGUGGAGCAUGUGGUUUAAUUCGAUGCAACGCGAAGAACCUUACCUACCCUUGACAUCCUGCGAAUUUGGUAGAGAUACCUUAGUGCCUUCGGGAACGCAGUGACAGGUGCUGCAUGGCUGUCGUCAGCUCGUGUUGUGAAAUGUUGGGUUAAGUCCCGUAACGAGCGCAACCCUUGUCCUUAUUUGCCAGCACGUAAUGGUGGGAACUCUAAGGAGACUGCCGGUGACAAACCGGAGGAAGGUGGGGACGACGUCAAGUCAUCAUGGCCCUUACGGGUAGGGCUACACACGUGCUACAAUGGCCGGUACAAAGGGUUGCGAGACCGCGAGGUGGAGCGAAUCCCAGAAAGCCGGCCUCAGUCCGGAUCGGAGUCUGCAACUCGACUCCGUGAAGUCGGAAUCGCUAGUAAUCGUGAAUCAGAAUGUCACGGUGAAUACGUUCCCGGGCCUUGUACACACCGCCCGUCACACCAUGGGAGUGGACUGCACCAGAAGUGGUUAGCUUAACCUUCGGGAGAGCGAUCACCACGGUGUGGUUCAUGACUGGGGUGAAGUCGUAACAAGGUAGCCGUAGGGGAACCUGCGGCUGGAUCACCUCCUU
rnacentral:rRNA from 1 species